rnacentral:lncRNA from 1 species
CCAACUCCACGGCAGACCUUGGCAUUCCCAUUUAAUACCCAAACUGCAUAGAAACAAGCUCCACAAAUGCAUAGCAAUAUGGCAGUGUAUAAAUAGAUGGUUUGUCUCUUCAACUUCAUCUUCACAUGUAUAUUACUGCAGACUAGGUACCUCUUUCUUGCAUAUUUUGAUGUGUAAGGGAGGCCCACUAGCUGCCACCCAUCGUUUUCAAAAUCUUCUUCUGUUGUGAUGUAGAAUAUGGUGACUGUAGAAUGUCAUUCAUGACUUAACUGUAAACAAACCAUUCUGUUCUCCAUACCGGAUUAUGGAAUCAUUCCCUCAGUUAGGACAAGUCAGGUAGUUCCGGUGGCAAGGCCGCUCCACUUUCAAUCACGAGAUUAGGAGUUUGAGUCACCAAGGGACCAAAGAGGAUAAGAGUCCUUGUUCACUCCUGGAUAGGGGAUAGGAUCAACCAUAUAAAAUAUAUUCCUUAGUUAGCCCUGUGCAAUAAACAGUUUCUUCAGCAAUUGAAUCAUUCUCUCCACUUCCCAACCAUUACAAGCAAUGACUCUAUUAGAGAAAGCAGGAGUCCAAUCCUAGUCCAGACUUGCAUUGAGCUAUAGUGGUCUUAGUAUUUCUGGCAAAACAUAGUAGAUGUGGGAACUAAUCUUUCAGGUUAAAUUGUUGCAACCAAGCAUCAUGCCAAAAACUUGAACUAUUCUGUCAACUCCCAUUUUAAACUGAAUAUAUGUAGCUUCCACACUGCAAUUUCAUAAGAAGUUGAAACUUCCUUAACAGUUAACACAACAAGGCAGCUGUUGCAUAUGUAGCUGUCAACACUUUUUUCCGUAAAACCUCACCAUCUUGACUCUCCAUAGACAUUAAAAUAGCAAAAAUGGUAACGCGUCCUCAAAUUUCUAACACCCAGCUUUUUUCCGUAUCACAGUACCUCAUCUUACCAAUUACCAAAUGAAAUAAACUUUUUCUUUAUUAACUUCCCAUAAGAAAUUUAAUCUGAUCCUGCCCAGAAUUUUCAUUUUCAUUACACAAUGACUGAAACAAAUUUUGGUUGGUUCGUCCAAUCAGUUCUGGCAAGUAUGAUGGUUACAGGCACUAAAAACAAGUACAUCAUAUAUAAUAAUGGCAGAGAAUCAAGGAUGCUAUUUAUCAGGAUUGUCCUCGUUUCAAAUAGGAACAUUAUCUUUUCUAAUUUGACUUCUUUUCAAUUUUAUCAAUGAUCCCAUGCCAAUUAUUAUCUAAUUUAUCAUUUAUGCGCAAUUAAUUGCAUGUCUAAGUAUGUGAUAGGCAAAGAGUGCGUAAUUGCAACCAAAAAUCUCUGGUCUGUCUCUUCUAUAUCCUACACUUCAUUUAUUGGAAUACAAGCAACUUUUGGCUAAUUUUAUAUGUAAUCCUAACCUAAAAUGUUUCGAAGACCAAAAGUAGUAAUCCUCAGAUGUUUCAAUUGUGUGCCCUAUUUAUCACAAAGAAUAAGGGUGUUAUCCACAUAUAUGAGUGAUGGUAGGCUAUAAUUGCGUGUUUCAGUUGCUUAUCGCACUCUAAUUUACUGCACUUUAAUUGAGUUGAGCUUUCAAUCGCUAGUGUUUUGCACUAAUUGUGUGUUUUAUGCUUUGUAGGAGUGAUUCCGAGUUAUGUAGAUAUUGUGGAACUAAUUCGAGUUAUUUGGAGCUUUGAAGUCUGAAUAAAAGCCCAAAGGAAUAAGCCGGGAUCGUGUUCGGAGGUCGAGGAUCACUGCUGGACGUCAAAAUUAAAGGAAGAAUCAACUACUGAAAAAAUACACUAGUGUGACGAAUCGAGCGACGCACCGUGCGACGCAGCAUUGCAAAUUUAUGUCAGAAAUUGGCAAAGUUCAAAGGCCACCCAGGUGCGCGAGCGCGCAUUGGGCGCGCAAGUUAGGCAGUGUUCUGGCCAAAGUGCGCGGCCAUAUGCGCGAGCACACUCCCAGGUGCGCGGUGCGCGGCCUAUUCCGGAAAGAGUCCUAUUUCGCAUAGGAGAAAGUGUGUUCGUUUGGGCCCGACCCUACUUGGUAUAUAUACAUGAAAAAACGGUAUUUUUGGGACUUUUGACACAUCAAAAACCUAAGGAGGCUAAGGAGAAGUGGGAGUAGAAAGAGCACAAGGAUUUCAUCAUUCAAUUCUCACUCAAGACAAGAGUUUAGAUCGUUUAUGCUUUCAUUUAACUUAAACUUAUUUGUGAUGAAUUACUCCAUAUCUAUGGAGUAGUUCUCUUUAGGGAUUGAUGGAUUUGGUGAAUUGAUAUUUGUUUGUGGAUUAUAACUCUAGUUUUUAUGUAGUAAAUCGUUUUGGAUGAUUUAAUUGUUGCAUCUAUAUUCACAUGUUCAUGUAAUCGAGAGAGGCAUAACUUGUGA